ACCAAGGCAACGAUCAGUAGCCGGUCUGAGAGGAUGAACGGCCACAUUGGAACUGAGACACGGUCCAAACUCCUACGGGAGGCGGCAGUGGGGAAUAUUGCACAAUGGGGGAAACCCUGAUGCAGCGACGCCGCGUGAGCGAUGAAGUAUUUCGGUAUGUAAAGCUCUAUCAGCAGGGAAGAAGAUGACGGUACCUGACUAAGAAGCACCGGCUAAAUAC
rnacentral:rRNA from 1 species